rnacentral:rRNA from 1 species
GACGAACGCUGGCGGCGUGCUUAACACAUGCAAGUCGAGCGGUAAGGCUCCUUCGGGAGUACACGAGCGGCGAACGGGUGAGUAACACGUGAGCAAUCUGCCCUUCACUUCGGGAUAACUCCGGGAAACCGGUGCUAAUACCGAAUACGACCACUUCAGGCAUCUGAUGGUGGUGGAAAGUUCUGGCGGUGGAGGAUGAGCUCGCGGCCUAUCAGCUUGUUGGUGGGGUAANGGCCCACCAAGGCAACGACGGGUAGCCGGCCUGAGAGGGUGACCGGCCACACUGGGACUGAGACACGGCCCAGACUCCUACGGGAGGCAGCAGUGGGGAAUAUUGGACAAUGGGCGAAAGCCUGAUCCAGCAACGCCGCGUGAGGGAUGACGGCCU